GACGAACGCUGGUGGCGUGCUUAACGCAUGCAAGUCGAGCGGUAAGGCCCUUUCGGGGGUACACGAGCGGCGAACGGGUGAGUAACACGUGGGUGACCUGCCCUCAGCUCUGGGAUAAGCCUGGGAAACCGGGUCUAAUACUGGAUAUGACUCCAUGACGCAUGUUGUGGGGUGGAAAGCCUUGUGCGGCUGAGGAUGGGCCCGCGGCCUAUCAGCUUGUUGGUGGGGUGANGGCCUACCAAGGCGACGACGGGUAGCCGGCCUGAGAGGGCGACCGGCCACACUGGGACUGAGACACGGCCCAGACUCCUACGGGAGGCAGCAGUGGGGAAUCUUGCGCAAUGGGCGAAAGCCUGACGCAGCGACGCCGCGUGAGGGAUGACGGCCU
rnacentral:rRNA from 1 species